UUCAAGACCAGCCUGGCCAACAUGGUGAAACCCCCCAUCUCUACUAAAAAUACAAAAAUUAGCCAAGCGUGGUGGCAUGCACCUGUAGUCCCAGCUACUCAGAAGCCUGAGACAGGAGAAUCGCUUGAACCCAGGAGGCAGAGGUUGCAGUGAGCAGAGAUGGUAUCACUUCACUCCAGUAUGGGCGACACAGCGAGACUCCAUUUAAAAAAAAAAUAAAAUAAAAUUGAAUGUAAAAGAUGCAAAGACUGGAAAGAAUGAAGGGAAACAAUCCAGUGAGGGAGACUGAAAUGCAGGGACCCAGGGACAUUGGCCAGCUCUCACAGCAUGGGCUCCCAAGAAAAAAGUCACAUCCAGAUUCUAGAACAUUCACUCACAGGGGACUGUUGUGUCAUGGCAAGCACCCUGCUCUGGAAUCCAAGUGAGGGUCAGCACUGUCGGCACCCCAGACCCAUCUGCCUCUAUGUGCUCUGGGUGGCUGUGAGCACAGGAUGAGGCCAGCCAAGUCUCCUGUAACCCCCAUAAGCCACCUGCAGAGGCUGUCUGAAUUCUUUCAAAGAAGAAAUGACCA
rnacentral:lncRNA from 10 species